CUACGGGCCGCUGCAGUCGAGAAUCUUUUUCAAUGGGCGAAAGCCUGAAAAUGCGACGCCGCGUGGGGGAUGAAGGUCUUCGGAUUGUAAACCCAUUUUAUCGGAGAGGAACUUUUUGAUACGAACAAUGUCAAGAAUUGACUGUACCCGGUGAAUAAGCCACGGCUAACUCCGUGCCAGCAGCCGCGGUAAUACGGAGGUGGCGAGCGUUACUCGGUUUGAUUGGGUGUAAAGGGUCCGCAGGCGGUUAUGCAAGUGAAAGGUGAAAUCUUUCAGCUCAACUGAAAAACUGCCUUUCAAACUGCAUAACUAGAGGAUGGGAGAGGAGAGUGGAACUACCGGUGUAAAGGUGAAAUUUGUGGAUAUCGGUAGGAACGCCCGUGGAGAAAUCGGCUCUCUGGUCCAUACCUGACGCUCAGGGACGAAAGCUAGGGGAGCGAACAGGAUUAGAUACCCGCGUAGUC
rnacentral:rRNA from 1 species